AGUGACUGUAGAAAUGCUGUUCGGAAAGGAUAAGGGGGAGGUGAUUCUAUGGAUCUAUGUAACGAAGCGCAAUGUGAUGUCAGGUUCGUUUUGCUUACGAGACGCCCUUCCUAUGCCGCUUGGGAUCCGUUGCCUGACUGGUGAUUGAUUUUACUGUGAGGGAAAAUUCUAGAGGCUGGGGGGAAGAGCUAAGGAAUCAUGAGAAACAAGGUUGGGGAGCAGGAGAGGAGACGAGGAUACAAGAGCAGAUUUAUGCACUGGAAAGCACUCAGAUAUACAUGGCAUGCAAUUGAACAGGUCAAUGGUAUGAGACGCCAGCUUUAUAUGCAUGUGUGUGUGUGUGUGUGUGUGCCAGUUAUGCAAUAUGUUAUGUGUGGGUUUAUGAAUGCAACCGGUUGUGUAUGGACCUGCAAAAGUGACAAGUGCAUGUUCGCUUGUGUGUGUGCUUGUAAACAUGAUAUGAUACUUCAUGCAUGUACAUGUGUGUCUGUGAAUGUGACAGUUUGUGUGUGUGUGUGUGUGUGUGCUGUCUUCAUUUCUGUGUCACAUUUAGCAUACAGAAUAAUAAUAUAUGUACAUAUAUUACUUUCUAUUUUCAAAGUCAUAAAUUUGUAAGCUGGAUGAAACACGGUGUAGUAAUACAUCAAAAUAAUGUAGUGGAAACAGAAAGGAAUAGCUUUUAUCUGUUGAUUUAUUAUUUAUAUCCAUCAACAAAACUCAGAUUGAGUUUUGGAAAAGUUAACAGUGCAAUGCUUAAUUUUUUGAUUAUAUCCUUUGUUUGACUAAAAAUAUAUUUAAUUGCCAAAGCAGAGAAUAUUACUUACUCAUACAUGAAGCUCUGCGCUGUAAAUCAUGCCAUGCAAUCCCUCUGGUAUCAUUUGCAAGGCCAUAUAUUCUCAUUUAAUCACAUCUUACAUCCAUCGUCUCAUUCUAUUUUCCACAACCCCCAAAGUAUUGCUCACAUAUGCUAUGCAUGCACCAAGGUAGAUAUGAAACAUUUUCUCAUUGAUUACUCUAGGCUAGCAAAAAUAUAUCAAAUUGGUCCCAGCCUUGAAAGAGUGAGUAGUGCUCCAAACACCCAGUGCUCAUAUCAUUUAUUUCAUACUGGCCGUGUGAAACCAAGCAUGAUUAUUAUUUUAGACUCUAUUGUUGUGCGUUCAUAUAUUCAUAUUCACUGUCGUGUGUCCAGGAGUGAGCAGCCAUCUGGUGUGGGGGCUGAGGGAAGAAGAUCCACACUGUAGUGAGAGAUCGCACUUGUCAGCCCCUCAACAUCUUAGCUGAUAGCUGCUGGCACUUCAGCAGCAGACACCCACUGUCAUGGAAAGCGUUCAGAGAAUAUCAAAUUCCUGUUCCUGCUGGCCAAAUAUUAAUAACCUAUUAAAAGAGAAGAGCAAUCGUGUAUGCAAACACAUUUAUUUAUUUAUUGGGGAUUAUAUUCUUUUGCUCACUCUUUUUAACAAGUUACUCCAAAUUACUCAGAAGUGGGGGAAUAGUUUUCAAGCCAAACUUUGAUAUUCAGUGUGUGUGUUUUCCUAAUUAAAAUAGGUUGUUGGUAGUCUUCCUAAUCAUCUGUAGUUUGUAAAUUUGAAUGGUGACAGUGUGACACUGCAGUAAAACAAGUAAGACACCACAGCAGAGUUCCUAGACAAAGAUCCAGUGUGCAUUCUGUACAUGUUCAGUCAGUACAUGCUGAGCCAAGUGAAUGCGGCCAGAGUCCAGCUCAGAUUCCCAACUCCAAGCCAAAAGGUAAGGCAAAAAAUUCCAGAAACACAAAUCAGUUAGUAAUCACUUCAUCCAAAAAUAGAUCAUCCAGAAAUAAAUCGUCUCAAGUUCAUAGCUGCACAUUUACUGUGUUCCUCUUCUCCUCCUCCUCUUCCUCUACAAAACAUCUAGUGCUUCCCAGCACAAUUUCUUUCAUUGUGCCAUAGAGCUACUGCUCUUGUAAACCUACUGAAUAACAUUUAUAUAAUUACCCUUGACAGAGUGUGUCUUGGGUGACAAAAACUUUCAGUGAAAAUAUUUUCGAAAAUAUUAUUUUAUUUUUAUUGAAUGUCUCUUGACCAACAGGUUGGUUCUUGAGAUGAAGACCAGAGACUCAUAUCCCCUACAAGGGAUUCCAGGUUUUAGGAGGAUAUAUACCGUGUAGCAGAUAUGGUCUCUUAUGGAGACAAGAAGAGAUGUGGAACCCCCAUGGGGAAAAGGAAGACAUAUACUGCCUGGGCGUGAAUUACAUACGCAGAAGAACAUCCAGCUGGCCAGUAUUACUCUCAUGGCUCAAUACAGCAUGAUGGUGUAACGAGAGCACAGCAUUGUACUACAAGCAAAACUAUGCACUCGACCUAACAACUUGCCUACAGUGAUAUUCUUCCCCUCAAGCUGUGGUUACUCACCGCACAGCCGUCUACCACGGCGCGGAUGUAGGGAUUAUUGUCAUAGGACAUCUCCUCAUCGUUAGAGCCCAGGAAGCGGAUGGCCUUGUCGUAGGAGUCCCCUUCUGAGUCGUGCCAGGCCACUGACUGGUAGCAGUUGUAGGUGAGGUUCUGUCGGGCAGAUGCGCUCAGCAGACGCAGGAAGGUCAUCUGGACCACACCGAUCGGGUUGCCCUCCGAGUCCAUGUAGGAAAGCUAGUCGAUGGCACACAGGGGGGAAAAAAAACAAACGGUCUAGACAGAGGAACACACCAGGGCCAGAUGCAAGCCCCUGCCGGAAUACAGGUGACACCUCCUCAAACAGACAACUGGAGCAGGCCAAACUAUCCACGUACUGUAAAUCAACCAUCAGUAAAUUGUACUUAACAGAUAUUCACCAAGCCUGCAAAUCUUUGGGGUUUGGAAAAUGAAAAUGCAUGCCAAUAUGUAUUCCCCUGGGUACUGGGGAGAUAAUAAUUGGCAUGUUCCUGCAGCUCAUUUGAGUGGAGUGAUCUAGCACAGCUCAUUACUCAGAAUAACCUGCGUUCUAAUAGAAAUGAGAUUUUUGUCCACUCUUUACACCAAAAAAUCACAUGGGUACUUCAAGAUGUUCAAAUACCUUCUCUACUAGGAAUUCUGAUCUACAGAAUAAAUAGCAUAAUGAAAACCUUUUCUAUCUGACUUUUUGUUUAUGUUUAGAGUAAUUAUACAUCUAAGUACCAUCACAUUAAAUUGUGGCUUUAUACUGUAGUAGCAUUUAGCUGGAUUAGUACAGAAAUAUGCUGACAGGUAUAGUAUUCCUUCCUAAAAUAGGGCAACAUAAACACAGCUAUUUACAAGAUAAAUAAAAAGGCAUAAUGAUAAAAAAUGAGCAGCACGGGUUUUAUGUGGAACAGGUGAUCUAAAAGCUAAACAAAAUCUGAUUGUUUCCUAAAGCAUUCAACACUAAAAUGGAAAAUUUUCAUGGAAAAACAAGACUACACUUUUAUAUAUAUGCACCAUAAUGUUUGGGACAGAUAGCUUCACAGGUGUCUCUGAUUAGUCAGGUAUGCUCAAUUGCUUCCUUAGUGCAAGUAUAAGAGAGCUUUCUGCAUCUAGUCUUGACUCAAGGCUUUUCAUUGCCUUUGGAGUCUGUUAUUGCUGGUUGUCAACAUGACCAGAGUUGUACCAAAGAAAGUCAAGAAAGCCAUUAUGAGGCUGAGAAAUAAAUAAAGAAAAAAAAAACAGUUAGAGAUAUAAGCCAAACCUUAGGCCUACCAAAAUCAGCUGUUUGGAACAUCAUUGAGAAGAGAGAGCAUGAGCAGGCUCAGUAAUCGCAAAGGGCCUGGUAGGCCAAGAAAAAUCCCUAUAGUAUCCCUAUGACUGAAGAAUUCUCACUCACUCUAAGAAGCUGUUUUAGUGGGAGAUAAUACUUUUGCCUCAAACUAUGGGAGGAGAUAUGCAGUGAGACUAAAACAUUUAUUUGGCUAUUACAUCAGGUCCUUCAUGACAUGACAUGAAGGAUCUGGACCCAGAUUGAACUCUAUCCAUUCAAUCCACAAACAGGAACUGAUGGAAAUGUUCAUACUGACAUAAAUCGAUAUUGCAAUGCAAUUGAAUUCUCAUACUGUCGCUGAUGCUUAAUACACACCAUAGCAACCCCAUACAACGCAGUCUGAAGCCAUUCAUGGAUUUACCUUUACAGUCACUUUAAGGCAAGUAGCCCCCAAAA